AGCGGCGGAUGGGUGAGUAACACGUGGGGAACCUGCCCCUAAGUCUGGGAUACCAUUUGGAAACAGGUGCUAAUACCGGAUAAUAAAGCAGAUCGCAUGAUCAGCUUUUGAAAGGCGGCGUAAGCUGUCGCUAAGGGAUGGCCCCGCGGUGCAUUAGCUAGUUGGUAAGGUAACGGCUUACCAAGGCGACGAUGCAUAGCCGAGUUGAGAGACUGAUCGGCCACAUUGGGACUGAGACACGGCCCAAACUCCUACGGGGGGCAGCAGUAGGGAAUCUUCCACAAUGGACGCAAGUCUGAUGGAGCAACGCCGCGUGAGUGAAGAAGGUUUUCGGAUCGUAAAGCUCAGUUGUUGGUGAAGAAGGAUAGAGGUAGUAACUGGCCUUUAUCUGACGGUAAUCAACCAGAAAGUCACGGCUAACUACGUGCCAGCAGCCGCGGUAAUACGUAGGUGGCAAGCGUUGUCCGGAUUUAUUGGGCGUAAAGCGGCGCAGGCGGAAAAAUAAGUCUAAUGUGAAAGCCCUCGGCUUAACCGAGGAACUGCAUCGGAAACUGUUUUUCUUGAGUGCAGAAGAGGAGAGUGGAACUCCAUGUGUAGCGGUGGAAUGCGUAGAUAUAUGGAAGAACACCAGUGGCGAAAGGCGGCUCUCUGGUCUGCAACUGACGCUGAGGCUCGAAAGCAUGGGUAGCGAACAGGAUUAGAUACCCUGGUAGUCCAUGCCGUAAACGAUGAGUGCUAAGUGU
rnacentral:rRNA from 1 species